GAUGAACGCUGGCGGCGUGCCUAAUACAUGCAAGUCGAGCGAACAGACGAGGAGCUUGCUCCUCUGACGUUAGCGGCGGACGGGUGAGUAACACGUGGAUAACCUACCUAUAAGACUGGGAUAACUUCGGGAAACCGGAGCUAAUACCGGAUAAUAUAUUGAACCGCAUGGUUCAAUAGUGAAAGACGGUUUUGCUGUCACUUAUAGAUGGAUCCGCACCGCAUUAGCUAGUUGGUAAGGUAACGGCUUACCAAGGCGACGAUGCGUAGCCGACCUGAGAGGGUGAUCGGCCACACUGGAACUGAGACACGGUCCAGACUCCUACGGGAGGCAGCAGUAGGGAAUCUUCCGCAAUGGGCGAAAGCCUGACGGAGCAACGCCGCGUGAGUGAUGAAGGUCUGCGGAUCGUAAAACUCUGUUAUUAGGGAAGAACAAAUGUGUAAGUAACUAUGCACGUCUUGACGGUACCUAAUCAGAAAGCCACGGCUAACUACGUG
rnacentral:rRNA from 1 species